rnacentral:lncRNA from 1 species
ACGAGAUCAGAACUAGUAGUAGCAAACGCAUCUCCAGCGACCGCAGGGACAGUAGUAAGUAGAUCGCUUUGACGUUUCAAGACAAGAGAGACAUCUCACGGCGAAGAGCAGAGCCAAUGGAACCGCGGCUAGGAGGAGCCAACUCAGCACAUCUUCGCCUGAGGAGACAGCAACUUCGAAUUUAACGACGGAGGAAAGGGCUAAGAGGACGAGGGCCACCGUGAUCAUGACUAUUACCGGCAACGGAGACGUCGAUACUCUACACCGUCCGCAGCAGCAGCCGUGCUUUUUAUUCCUCGGAAGAUAGUGAAACAAAGAAAGAUAAAGCGAGAGAUAAUGGUUUGUUAGGUACACUAUAAAUGAUAUUAUUAUGGUCGAUGAUGAUACCACUCACUGUUUUUAGAAAAAAACAUAAGUACUAGCUAGUGGGGUAACGAAGGAAUUUAUGUGGUAAUUUACAUAUGUGUUUUGUGGAUUAGUCAGACCAUAGUUUCUCUAAUUUCAAGGGAUAUUCGUAUUGAUACUAAGCUGAUUAAGUAUUUGGUUUCAUCAUAUUU